GGUGUAGCUCAGCUGGUAGAGCGCCGGAUUGUGGUUCCGGAUGCCGUGGGUUCGAGUCCCAUCUC
rnacentral:tRNA from 1 species